UGCGUAGGCGGUUUAUUAAGUCAGUGGUGAAAGACGGUCGCUCAACGAUUGCAGUGCCAUUGAUACUGGUAGACUUGAGUUCGUAUGAGGUAGCUGGAAUGGAUAGUGUAGCGGUGAAAUGCAUAGAUAUUAUCCAGAACUCCAAUUGCGAAGGCAGCCCCCUGGACAGUGACUGACGCUCAUAUGCGAAAGCGUGGGGAUCAAACAGGAUUAGAUACCCUCGUA
rnacentral:rRNA from 1 species